AUUGAACGCUGGCGGCAUGCCUUACACAUGCAAGUCGAACGGUAACAGGGAGCUUGCUCCGCUGACGAGUGGCGAACGGGUGAGUAAUAUAUCGGAACGUACCUUUGAGUGGGGGAUAACUAGUCGAAAGCUUAGCUAAUACCGCAUACGAUCUACGGAUGAAAAUGGGGGCUCGUAAGACCUCAUGCUCAUAGAGCGGCCGAUAUCUGAUUAGCUAGUUGGUGAGGUAAAGGCUCACCAAGGCAUCGAUCAGUAGCUGGUCUGAGAGGACGACCAGCCACACUGGGACUGAGACACGGGCCCAGACUCCUACGGGAGGCAGCAGUGGGGAAUUUUUGGGACAAUGGGGGCAACCCUGAUCCAGCAAUGCCGCGUGAGUGAAG
rnacentral:rRNA from 1 species